GGUUUUAAGAGGUUCUGUGAGAAGUAUCCUAUUGCUUUUCCUCAUUUUUGGUGGUGCGAUGUGGAUUGUCCUUUUGCAAAAGAAAAAACGCAAUUGUACCUGUGAAGCCCAAAGAAAGUAUUGUGUUGCUAGUUAUGAAGAUUCUCCACUGUAAAAAGAAAACUUUGUCUUCAUAGCUACAGGACAAGAUAUUCUUAAUUGGCAAUUUCUUCUGAGCAAGCUAACAACAAAUAUCAUGCUGACAUUGAUGGUUAUGUUAUGAGAAGCAAUGAAUGUAUAAUAUACUCCUGGAAAAAAUAUGAAGCAGAGUCAUUGAUAUAACAUAGCUGAUAUGAUUUUGAUAUAAAAAUCAAGAACCAUACAUGACCAUUUAUUGUUGACAUAUAUUAUUCUUUUUAUUGCAUUC